rnacentral:rRNA from 1 species
CUACGGGGCGCACCAGUGAGGAAUAUUGCACAAUGGGGGGAACCCUGAUGCAGCAACGCCGCGUGGAGGAUGUCGCAUUUCGGUGUGUAAACUCCUUUUAUAUGUCAAGAAAAUGACGGUAGCAUAUGAAUAAGCACCGGCUAACUCCGUGCCAGCAGCCGCGGUAAUACGGAGGGUGCAAGCGUUACUCGGAAUCACUGGGCGUAAAGGACGCGUAGGCGGGUUGGAAAGUCAGGUGUGAAAUCCUACAGCUUAACUGUAGAACUGCACUUGAAACUACUAAUCUAGAGUAUGGGAGGGGGAGAUGGAAUUAGUGGUGUAGGGGUAAAAUCCGUAGAUAUCACUAGGAAUACCUAAAGCGAAGGCGAUCUCCUGGAACAUUACUGACGCUAAGGCGUGAAAGCGUGGGGAGCAAACAGGAUUAGAUACCCCUGUAGUC